rnacentral:rRNA from 1 species
CCUACGGGAGGCAGCAGUGNGGAAUAUUNAACAAUGNACGGAAGCCUAAUCCAGCAACGCCGCGUGAGGGAUGACGGCCUUCGGGUUGUAAACCUCUUUCGCACAGACGAAGCUCACGUGACCGUAUGUGCAGAAGANGGACCGGUCAACUACGUGCCAGCAGCCGCGGUAAU